rnacentral:rRNA from 1 species
UGGGGAAUAUUGGACAAUGGGCGCAAGCCUGAUCCAGCCAUGCCGCGUGAGUGAUGACGGCCUUAGGGUUGUAAAGCUCUUUCGCUAGGGACGAUAAUGACGGUACCUAGACAAGAAGCCCCGGCUAACUUCGUGCCAGCAGCCGCGGUAAUACGAAGGGGGCUAGCGUUGUUCGGAAUUACUGGGCGUAAAGCGCGUGUAGGCGGGCGUUUAAGUCAGGGGUGAAAUGCCAAGGCUCAACCUUGGAACUGCCUUUGAUACUGGAUGUCUUGAGUCCGGGAGAGGUGAGUGGAACUGCGAGUGUAGAGGUGAAAUUCGUAGAUAUUCGCAAGAACACCAGUGGCGAAGGCGGCUCACUGGCCCGGAACUGACGCUGAGACGCGAAAGCGUGGGGAGCAAACAGGAUUAGAUACCCCCGUAGUCC